rnacentral:tRNA from 1 species
AAGACUUUAAGUUAAAUAAAACUAAAAACCUUCAAAGUUUUCAAUAGGUUCUCCCUAAGUCUUG